rnacentral:rRNA from 1 species
CCUAGGGUGGCAGCAGUGGGGAAUAUUGCACAAUGGGGGAAACCCUGAUGCAGCGACGCCGCGUGAAGGAAGAAGUAUUUCGGUAUGUAAACUUCUAUCAGCAGGGGAGAAAAUGACGGUACCUGACUAAGAAGCCCCGGCUAACUACGUGCCAGCCGCCGCGGUAAUACGUAGGGGGCAAGCGUUAUCCGGAUUUACUGGGUGUAAAGGGAGCGUAGGCGGGGCAGCAAGGCUGAAGGGAAAGCCCGGGGCUCAACUCCGGGACUGCUUUUGAAACUGUUUGACGAGAUUGCAGGAGAGGUAAGGGGAAUGCCUAGUGUAGCGGUGAAAUGCGUAGAUAUUAGGAGGAACACCAGUGGCGAAGGCGGCUUACUGGACUGUAAAUGACGCUGAGGCUCGAAAGCGUGGGGAGCAAACAGGAUUAGAUACCCCAGUAGUC